rnacentral:lncRNA from 1 species
AAAGCUGAGCCUGGAGACAGAUGGAGGGGAAGACAGAAGAGAGAAUAAGGAGAAGAAUGGUUUCAUUUGGAAGGACACUGACUAAGGAAAAACAGAGAAAAGGAUGAAACCCAAGCCAACUCUGCAACUCUAUUAAAAACACCAAGACUUCAAUAUGAACCUGGCAUGGUGGGCACAGUCGGGCACUGCAGGCGGCUUGCCUCCAGCAGAAGGAAUACUGCUACUCAGCUCUAGAUGAUUGCCCUGAAGAAAUUCAUGCCCACUGAAUCUCCUUAAAGGGAGGCAGUGCAGUCUUCAUGGCUAGAGCUUCAGCAGCUAUCUAGAACCAUAUGGUGGAAGCCACUUACUGAGAACUGUGAAACAAGAGCCUGGGUCCCUGACAUAUGAAGCCACCAUACCUACCUUAAAGUGUCUUUCACUUGAGGGAAAAACACAUCUUUCUUA